rnacentral:rRNA from 1 species
AGUGAACGCUGGCGGCAGGCCUAAUACAUGCAAGUCGAACGGCAGCACAGCAGAGCUUGCUCUGUGGGUGGCGAGUGGCGGACGGGUGAGGAAUACAUGGGAAUCUGCCCAGUCGUGGGGGAUAACGUAGGGAAACUUACGCUAAUACCGCAUGCGCCCUUCGGGGGAAAGCCGGGGACCUUCGGGCCUGGCGCGAUUGG